ACCAGAAUGGCCGAGUGGUUAAGGCGUUGGACUUAAGAUCCAAUGGAUUCAUUUCCGCGUGGGUUCGAACCCCACUUCUGGUA
rnacentral:tRNA from 2 species